CGGUGGAUGAUGUGGAUCAAUCGAUGCAACGCGAAGAACCUUACACCUUGACAUGUCCGGAACUUGCCAGAGAUGGCUUGGUGCCGAAAGGGAAUCGGAACACAGGUGCUGCAUGGCUGUCGUCAGCUCGUGUCGUGAGAUGUUGGGUUAAGUCCCGCAACGAGCCGCAACCCUUAUCAUUAGUUGCUACGCAAGGGCACUCUAAUGAGACUGCCGGUGACAAACCGGAGGAAGGUGGGGAUGACGUUAAGUCCUCAUGGCCCUUAUGGGUAGGGCUUCACACGUCAUACAAUGGUCGGUACAGAGGGUUGCCAAGCCGCGAGGCGGAGCCAAUCCCACAAAGCCGAUCGUAGUCCGGAUUGUUCUCUGCAACUCGAGAGCAUGAAGUCGGAAUCGCUAGUAAUCGCAGGUCAGCAUACUGCGGUGAAUACGUUCCCGGGUCUU
rnacentral:rRNA from 1 species